CUUGACCGAGCCGAGCAGCAGCGGCCGGUCCUCGGGGCGGUCCUGGCCGUAGGUGGCGAGGAGCCCCUGGGCCUC
rnacentral:antisense_RNA from 1 species